rnacentral:rRNA from 1 species
ACCCGGUAAGCCUGAAUACUCCCUGGUGACCGAUAGCGGACUAGUACCGUGAGGGAAAGGUGAAAAGUACCCCGGGAGGGGAGUGAAAUAGUACCUGAAACCGUGCGCUUACAAUCCGUCAGAGCCUUCGAGCAGCUUGCUGCUGGGGGUGAUGGCGUGCCUUUUGAAGAAUGAGCCUGCGAGUUAGUGGCAUGUGGCGAGGUUAACCCGUGGUGGGGUAGCCGUAGCGAAAGCGAGUCCGAAUAGGGCGUUUGAGUCGCGUGUUCUAGACCCGAAGCGGAGUGAUCUACCCAUGGCCAGGGUGAAGCGACGGUAAGACGUCGUGGAGGCCCGAACCCACUUAGGUUGAAAACUGAGGGGAUGAGCUGUGGGUAGGG